rnacentral:lncRNA from 1 species
AUGUCCAUACGUGUGAGGGUGUGUGCAGGCCUGGCCUCCUGCACCCGUGGAUGCCACGCAAGCCCCGAAGCCCCAGCUUUCUGAGCAGCUGGCCUGUGACGGCGGCAUCUCAGGCGGCUUGGCUGUGUAGUGGGGAUCCCCCAGCAGGCUCCAGGACCAGGGUCUUCUCUUUGGCUCCAGGUGACCCCAGCAGACUGGCCCUGCACCUGGCCCUGUGUUGACAUCUCCAGAGGGUUUGUGAGCAGAGAUGAGGGCACCUGUGAGGUCAAGGAUAGUCUCUGUGUGGCAGCGGGACCUUGGGCCCAGGGGCAGCCUGUGGCUCUGAGGAUGGCUGUGAGUACUUGGCAAUGACCCUGUUAGUUGAGCUUGUGCCCGGCAGGGCUGAGAUCUCCCAGCAUGUGGCAUGGGCCCCUCACCACCCCGAGUAUGGACC